rnacentral:rRNA from 1 species
GACGAACGCUGGCGGCGUGCUUAACACAUGCAAGUCGAACGGAAAGGCCCUGCUUGCAGGGUGCUCGAGUGGCGAACGGGUGAGUAACACGUGGGUGAUCUGCCCCUUACUUUGGGAUAAGCCUGGGAAACUGGGUCUAAUACUGGAUAGGACCAUGCUGUAGGUGGUGUGGUGGAAAGAUUAGUUUCGGUAAGGGAUGAGCUCGCGGCCUAUCAGCUUGUUGGUGGGGUAAUGGCCUACCAAGGCGUCGACGGGUAGCCGGCCUGAGAGGGUGGAUGGCCACAUUGGGACUGAGAUACGGCCCAGACUCCUACGGGAGGCAGCAGUGGGGAAUAUUGCACAAUGGGCGCAAGCCUGAUGCAGCGACGCCGCGUGGGGGAUGACGGCCUUCGGGUUGUAAACUCCUUUCAGCCAUGACGAAGCCCUUGUGGUGACGGUAGUGGUAGAAGAAGCACCGGCUAACUACGUG